rnacentral:rRNA from 1 species
AUUGAACGCUGGCGGCAGGCUUAACACAUGCAAGUCGAGCGAGCGGCGGACGGGUGAGUAAUGUCUGGGAAAUUGCCUGAUGGAGGGGGAUAACUACUGGAAACGGUAGCUAAUACCGCAUACCAUCAGAUGUACCCAGAUGGGAUUAGCUAGUAGGUGGGGUAAGGGCUCACCUAGGCGACGAUCCCUAGCUGGUCUGAGAGGAUGAUCAGCCACACUGGAACUGAGACACGGCCCAGACUCCUACGGGAGGCAGCAGUGGGGAAUAUUGCACAAUGGGCGCAAGCCUGAUGCCGCCAUGCCGCGUGUGUGAAGAAGGCCUUCGGGUUGUAAAGCACUUUCAGCGGGGAGGCGUUACUCGCAGAAGAAGCACCGGCUAACUCCGUGCCAGCAGACGCGGUAAUUC